rnacentral:ncRNA from 1 species
UUUAAGGGCAAACCUAACGAAAGUUAGGGACGCAAAGCCACGGGUCUAAAGCAUUUUUGCUAUGACAGCCGGGCUGCCGG